GGGGAUUACAGGCGAAAAGUAAUGGAUCAAGUGAUAAUAGGGUAAUAAUAAAGUAAAUAUGGUUGUUUAUUACAUUAUUUGCGAUUCUACGUGUAGUAAUGUGAUAUUUGCUAUGUAUAUCCAUCAGAAACUUGUCUGUACGAAACAGUGAAAUACUGCCCUCUCCGGCAGAAUAAAGUAAGCUUAGCAACGAG